AGAACGAACGCUGGCGGCGUGGAUAAGACAUGCAAGUCGAACGCUGAGAAUCAGGUAGCAAUAUUUGAUUUUUUGGAGUGGCGUAAGGGUGCUUAACACGUGGGUAAUUUGCCGCAAAACCCGGGAUAACCCCGAGAAAUCGGGGCUAAUACCGGAUGUGACCUCCUGGGGGCAUCCUUGGGAGUUGAAGGCUGGGGACUGUUAAAGGCCUGGCUAUUUUGCGAUAAGCCCGCGGCCUAUCAGCUAGUUGGUGAGGUAACGGCUCACCAAGGCUUGGACGGGUAGCUGGUCUGAGAGGACGACCAGCCACACUGGAACUGAGACACGGUCAGACACCGUACGGGUGCGAGCGAGUCAGUAAUUUUCACUAAGUCGGGGGACCACCUAGAACGGAGCGAACGCCGCGGU
rnacentral:rRNA from 1 species